rnacentral:rRNA from 1 species
UUGAACGCUGGCGGCAGGCCUAACACAUGCAAGUCGAACGGUAACAGAAAGCAGCUUGCUGCUUUGCUGACGAGUGGCGGACGGGUGAGUAAUGUCUGGGAAACUGCCUGAUGGAGGGGGAUAACUACUGGAAACAGUAGCUAAUACCGCAUAACGUCGCAAGACCAAAGAGGGGGACCUUCGGGCCUCUUGCCAUCGGAUGUGCCCAGAUGGGAUUAGCUAGUAGGUGGGGUAACGGCUCACCUAGGCGACGAUCCCUAGCUGGUCUGAGAGGAUGACCAGCCACACUGGAACUGAGACACGGUCCAGACUCCUACGGGAGGCAGCAGUGGGGAAUAUUGCACAAUGGGCGCAAGCCUGAUGCAGCCAUGCCGCGUGUAUGAAGAAGGCCUUCGGGUUGUAAAGUACUUUCAGCGGGGAGGAAGGGAGUAAAGUUAAUACCUUUGCUCAUUGACGUUACCCGCAGAAGAAGCACCGGCUAACUCCGUG